GUUUCGCCAGCUGCGUGUGAGUAGCCCAAGGAGGGAAGCCUGAGAGGCCCUUCAUUGUUUUCUUGAGGCAGCCGAGCAAGCCUCGUGUUCUUUACCUCUGAAGUGGGGCCCUCCUGAAAGUAAUGCCCAGACGGGCCAUACCCGGUUUCUAAAGUGACCACCGAAAAAGCAGCGGGGUUAAUGUGAAUCAGCCCCUUCGAAAUAAUUCUUAAUGUCUGGGUUAUGUCGGGUUUUUAGAACAGAUAGGAUACCAAUAAUUACACCUUUUUCUUGGGUCUUGGCGUUGUAAAAGCAGCUCCAACCGUAAAUCACCGUCGUUGAGAAGACACGUGGUGUGAAACAUUCAUGAGUCCUACUUCUCCCUCACUCUGGCCUCUGAGGUUGUUCCUGGAACAACGGUAGAGAAUAGAGACCGAAUCUCUAAAAAGUAACUUCCAGAAGGUCGAGGAGCUGGGAAAGAGCACAGGGCAAGGAUUUGAAAGUUGUCUGUAUUGUCCCAACGCUCUUUUUGAGCACUGUGUUGUACCUCCUGCUUCUAAUAGUGGUUUUUCCGACCUCAGACUGAUGUAAUCAAUGAAAAGUUUUUCCUUUCCUACAACUGAACACUCAGUCUUGUUUCUGGCCAUUGGUCCAAACUCAGAAACCCACAACAUCCAGAGAAAAUGAUGUGAAUAAAUCUUAGAUUCCUGGGGAAAGGAACACAAGAACUCUUUUGUAGACAAAGGAUUCAAAAGCAAACCGAAGCAGAGGAAACUGGGCUAACUUCUACCGAGUUGAUUUGCUUCAAACUUUGCAGUUUUCCUGCAGGCUCUCAUAAGCGAUCUAUACUGCACCAGACACAAAGCCUGGCAGGUCGUAGAACUUUUACAGACGUUUGAAAGUUUCUACAUGCUUUCGCAAUACUUUUUUUUUUUUUUCUGAAUCGAUUUGUUGGUAAGUUCCAAACACCGUGGACCCUUUAGCCCUCUGUACAUUGAUGUAGCCUUCCCGGGAAUAGAGAUACUGUUUUAUAUAACCACCAUGCUUUUCUGAGAGUCACAGAUUUAUAUGGAUAAGAAACAUGUAGCUAAUCUAGGUUCAUAUUCUAGUUUUGUCAGUUUAUCUGGUAAUUUGGAGCAUUCUUUUUCCUUACAAGACCAGUGCAGUGAUCCAGGCAAAAAGUUGAAUUUCGUUGUCCCUAAACAUCUGUGUUUUCAGGCAUUACUACUCACUGGAAUGGUAUGUCGAUAAAUAUCAAGCAUUUUCUUGUUGGUGUCAAAGCCUGGACAGGCCCUCAUUCCCACAUUUCCUGGUUCCCCGUAGACUUCAGCAGGCAGGGCACACAUAGCACACCUUUCUGAACCAAGGUUAUGGCCUUGCCAUCUUUGCUGUGGCAUUGGGCUAAAGUUAGCCCCAGUGGGGAAAUCCUGGCCAGUAUUGUGGGCAGAGUACAUUAGUACUUUCUCGUCUCCAGACUCACAGUAUCCCCUGCCCACAUUUUCCCUCACAGAAUGGAGACAGAUACACAUGUUGUAAGGCUAUGCAGUCUGCAAAUGAGCCUGGAGAAUCCAGCUUCCUGGGGCAAAGACAGGAUGGCUUUGUGGCUCACAAACUUCCCAAAGAGGUGCCUGUAUUGAGCACUGAUCUUCAGCAGUGGUGCCCUUUCAGAAGGUGGUGGACACUCAGGAGGUAGAACCUGGAUGAAUUCAGAAGUGGGUUUCUUGAAAUAGAACUUUAAAGAUGGAAAAGAAUAGCAGAGACACGGAUGGACAAUGUAAGGACACUGGGGAACUAUAAAAGGGAUGGACAGCAUUCUCACGUGGCAACAGUGGUCUGAAGCUUGGUGGCUCAGUUUACUUUUAGGUCAAGCUGAAUCUCUACAUCACUAAGAGAUUCCUUGAUGGAAGUGAGAGAUGGCCAAGUGGGAAGAAAGUGGAACCAAUGGGAAAGCCUUCACUACAUAGCAUCAUUGGCUUUGGAAUUAACAGCUUCAGAUGCCAAACAUGGAUGAAAUGCUGACUUUGAGCAACUGUUUGGAUCAGCAGGUGUGACAAAACUCCUGAAAAAGCAGCUUCAUAAAGAAAGGUUUUCUUUUGGCUUUUAGUUUCUUCGUUUCGGAGAAUGUAUGGCAGAAUGGCUCAGGCUGUGGGUCCUACCUUGGACAGAUACCACCACAUUGAGGAACAGGUCUUCAGUAAAUCAACCCUGGGAAGACAAACUACAUUUAAAUCAUUUCAAGGGGCCAGCAAUAUGACUCAACAGAUAAAGACAGUGUGAAGCCUGGUGACCUGAGUUCAAGCCCCUGGCAUCCACAUGGUAGAAAGAAAAAGCUGACUCUGAAGGCUGUACUCCUCUGACCACCACAUACAUGCUGUGGUAUACCUUAUACUCCCUCCCAUGAAUAAAUAAAUGAAAACAUUAAACCACUUCCAAACCAUUACACUUGCUCAACCUGAACACCCAGGAUAUGGUUGUAGACACUAAGCAUUAAAAAUUCUCAGUUACAAUGUGGGGAGUGCUAAGUUAGUGGGCCAGGUGACCGUCUAAAGCACCUCAUAUGAUCCUAGCAUUGUGGCGGGUACUCUUAGUCAGUGGAGUUUUAUCACAACCAUCAUCUGCAUGCAUGCAAGUCAGCUCAAUUUCUGUAUAGCCUCUUGGUGGUGUACCAAUUCUGCCUUUUUCUUGUCUGUGGCCUGGGGAAAUGGCAAUUCCAACUUCCUAAGGCAGUAUCUUGGGAUUCAUGGAGUGUAGGUCUAUGUGAUUCUCAAUGUACCUACCUACCAUCCGUCAGUAAGUGAUGGGGAAUAUUAUGAUCUGUUCUCAUUAAAAUUCAUGUUGAAACUUAAUACCAGAUGGAAGAAAAGCCAGCAGACAUCCAUAUCCGCAUUCUACACCUCCUGGCCUGUGAUGAUAUGAGCUUCUCUGCUCUGCCAUGCACUGCCUGCCAUGAUGGACUGAGCCCUCUGAGGUCAUGAAAAAAGGAUGGACUGAGCCCUCUGAGGUCAUGAAAGAACUUAGUUUUCCCUACCAGGACACAAGGCUGACACCUUCUACUGAGGACUAUGGAAUUAGUCAGGAACCAACACAGCCUGGAGGAGCAAUGCCUAUAGGAUCACACUAUCCAUGAGCAAAGAAAGAUUGCAAGAACUUCAAAAAGAACCCAGAACAAGACAGAGAACACACUGUUCCAAGCCAUGGAGUAGUAGAGAAAGGUUUCCCAGUAUGUGCUCUACAGACUGGCAGCAUCCACACCUCUUUUUUUUUGGUGGUAGAGCAUAAAUACUCUCUACUACCACAAAUUAUGCAGCCGACUUUCCUGCAUUUGGAGAAAUCAUGGGUUAGCAUCCCUGGAGUGCAAUGGAUGAGCCUCACCUUAGGAAAAUCACCCUCAUGAUCAUGAGAUCUCCCCUGCCAGGAGGAUCAUCAGCAUGGUGUAAAGCUAACCAUGGUCCUGGGAGUCAGACUGCCUGGGCUCAACAUGACUUUGUGUUUCCAGCGGAUUCAUUCACCUUAGUUCUAACCUGGCACCGAAGUCCUUGGAAACUCCUGGAGAAUCAUUGGUCUUCUUCUGUGCAUUCUGGAAAGCCAAAGGAGAUGGUAUCUGAUGUCAGCAGAGAACGACAGUGACAGCAACAGAGAAAGAUGCUCAGGAAGAAGGCGGCAGGCAUGCAGGCAGUGCUGAUUAUGUGGGAGCCACAGGUGUAUGUGAUGUGACCUGCUGCUUCAAACUCCUGCUACUAUGGCUUCCCUGCUGUGAUGGUUUGCAACUUAAACUGUGAGUUACAAUAAGCCAUUUCCCCCCAAGUUGCUUUUCUCACAGCCACAGAAAGGGAACUAAAUUCAUAAGCAGUCAGGAUUACUUGAGUUCAUGAAAGUGGGAAUCUCAUGAUGGCAUCAGGGACCUUUUAAGAAGAAAAGACCUCAGCUAGCACAUGUGCUCUCUUGCUGUGUGACACCUUCUGUCCUGUUAUGGAAUAAGAAAGCCCUGUGUAUAUCCUAGCAUCCUGCUUUUGGAUUUCCCCUCCACACCCAUGAGACAGAUAAACUAUUCUUUGUAAGUAACUAGACUCUAACAUUUUGUUAUAGCACAAAAAGAAACAAGCAACUGCCCCCCUCUCAAAAAAAAAAAAAAAACUAAGAUACAAAUUUAUAGAUGAGUAAAAUCUGGUUCAGAGAUGCUAAGCUUGUUUCCCCGAGUCUCCCAAGACAACACAGGGCAUCAUGGUUUCAGGCUGGUUCCUCUUCCUGGAAGUAGAUAUGUGUGAUGUGUGAUACUGUGGAGUACUGUCCCACUUUGUGCAGAUAACCAAGACUGCAGCCAUGAACUUUCCCCCUCCUGGCCUUUGCUCUGUUGUCACACUCUUACUUUUAAAUACAUUUUAACCUGUGUAACAUUUUUAUUUGUUCAGAAAUGGGCAAUCAAUUAGCUUUCAGUGUAUUUUUAGAAAAAAAGAAAAGAAAAACUCUUAGCGUUCCCAAGUCUGUUAUUGAAUCUGAAGCUCCUCAUCCCUGGCUGUGGGAUACAGGUUCCCUUUGUGCCGUGGCUGCUGCUGCUCACUGCCUUGAUGAUUUAAUGUCAGAAAAAAAUGUUCACUUGGUUAAAUUUCUGGAAAUUAUUUUCCUUAAACAUGCAGUUCUCUGGAGAGUUUUGUCUUCAUUUCAGUGCUUCUGGAUUGUGUGUUUCUGACCCAAAGGUGGUGGCAGCUGCUGCUCCUCAUUACAAACAAGUGUAUAGUUUGAGUUGCCUGGUACAUGGACUAAAGAUGUCAUUUCCAUCUUAAAGAGGAAUUGACAACCUCUCCUCCAUGGAGGAAGCAUGGCCAGCCAGUGUCAGUCAUUGAUGCUCAAGGUGGCAUCUUCUCUCAAGUCCUUGCUGGGAUAUUAGAGCACUGGCUAGGCCAUAGAGAUGCAAAAGAGAUAGGUGAGAGCCCUUUGUUGUUAUUUAUGGUGGCAGAUACAGGACUUGUGUGGUGAUGUCUAGCUCUUCUUGGCAUAUUGUUUAUCAUAGUUUAAAUAUGAAAUGUCCAUCAGAAGUCAUACUUUAACUCUUAGUCCCCAGCUGGUGACACUGGGAAAGUUACUGAACUGUUGUAGUAUUUCUGGGAAAAGUACAUCACUGGGCUUUGCCUUUUUUUAUCUACCUCUACUUCAUAUUCUCUAAUCUCUGCUUCCUGUUUGUGGAUGAAUGUGUUCACUCUGCUUCCUGGCUGCCAAGCUAACCUCACGCUCCUGCUGGCAUGCCUUCCCUGCUACAAUGGACUAUACCCUGUCUGGAACUGUGAGCCAAAGUAAACCCUUUCUCCAGGAAGCUACCUUUGUCACAGUAUUCUAACACAGUAUCAGAAAAGUAACUAAUGCUCCCCCCAACAUACUCAGCAGCCCAGUAGUGGAGGUUUGUAUGUGGCAGGGCAUUAACUCUUCCUCAUGUCCUUUAGCCAUGAUGAUGCCAUCUAGACAGACAGCUAAAGAUGUCCAACUUCCUCAUCCAUGUGAAGCAGACGAUCAACAUCAUGAAUGCUUGAGGCUUAGAAAAGGCAAGGAGCAGCAGAACUCUUGAAAAUCAUUAACUCUGAAAGCAGAAGAUACUAUUUGACUUAAAUCUUAUUUGAACAUGUCUAACAGUGUUGGGCUUUGCUUCAGAAUGUACAAACAAAUCUCUGAUUUAGAAAUAGGAGCUAGAGUGGUGUAGAGUUAACCUGUUCAAGGUGUGGCACAUUCAAGUUCUUACACAGUUGUACCAUGGACACUGUCAUGCCUCAUGAGUGUCUUCUCCACCUGAUGCGGUACACCAUCUCUCAGUACUAGACCUUGGCUAGGGAUGUUUGUCAGGGGACAAACUCUGUUGUCCUUUGAAUGAAGUAUGGUCUCUGAGUGAUUGCUGUUUGGUCUGUUCUAUGCUUAGAAAUGCCCAUGCAGUCUACAGCUGGGCUGUGCUCUCUGGCCCCCUCUCCUCUGCCCAUCAUCGAUCUACAUAACUUCUAAAGACAAGGCAUGUGACACUGGUCACACAAACAGAGACUGCUUUGAUGAGAGGAAAGGGACUUUCUGCUCAUGUUUUUCUGAAGUAAAUUUGUAUUUUUGUGUUGUUACUUACCCAACAGUUUAGAUCUCUUGUCCUGUAGGUGCCACGAGAAAGCACUAUCUGCUGAGCUCAUCUUCCCUAAUCUCUUACUUCCCCUCACUAGAUCAGCCCCUGCCCUGGCUCCUGUUCCCUACUGCUCCUUUAAGCUCCUCCCCCAUCUUCUGAGACAGAAUUUCACUUUGUAGCUCAGAUUUAGGCCUCAAAUUCACUAUGUAGCCAAGACUUGUCUCUGGACUCCUUUU